GACGAACUGUCCUAGCGUUGUUCGGAAUUACUGGGCGUAAAGGGCGCGUAGGCGGCCUUCUAAGUCAGACGUGAAAUCCCCGGGCUCAACCCGGGAACUGCGUCUGAGACUGGAAGGCUCGAAUCCGGGAGAGGGAUGCGGAAUUCCAGGUGUAGCGGUGAAAUGCGUAGAUAUCUGGAGGAACACCGGUGGCGAAGGCGGCAUCCUGGACCGGCAUUGACGCUGAGGCGCGAAAGCCAGGGGAGCAAACGGG
rnacentral:rRNA from 1 species